GCCAGUGUGGCAUAGGGGUUUGAGCCUUGGACCAAGACUUUGGAGAUCAGAGUUCAAAUCUCUGCUCAGACA